rnacentral:rRNA from 1 species
AUGGUUAAGACAUGCAAGUCGAACGAAAGCAAGUCUUCGGAUUUGUGGAAAGUGGCGAACGGGUGCGUAACACGUGAGCAACCUGCCCUAAAGUGCGGAACAGCCUGCCGAAAGGUGGAUUAAUGCCGCAUGUGACCUUUUUACGCAUGUUAAAAUGGUUAAAGCUUGUAAUGGCGCUUUAGGAUGGGCUCGCGGCCUAUCAGCUUGUUGGUGAGGUAAAUGCUCACCAAGGCUAAGACGGGUAGCUGGUCUGAGAGGAUGAUCAGCCACACCGGGACUGAGACACGGCCCGGACACCUACGGGUGGCAGCAGUUUCGAAUCAUUCACAAUGGGCGAAAGCCUGAUGGUGCAAUGCCGCGUGGAGGAUGAAGGCCUUAGGGUCGUAAACUCCUGUCAUUGGGGAGCAACAAGCAGGUUUAUAGCCUGCCCUGAGUUAACCCAAAGAGGAAGAGG